rnacentral:tRNA from 1 species
CUCGGUAGCUUAGUUUGUGAAGCACUUGUUUAGCACACAAGAGUCCUGGUUUCAAAUACCAGCUGAG